rnacentral:rRNA from 1 species
UACGUAGGUGGCAAGCGUUGUCCGGAUUUACUGGGCGUAAAGAGCGCGCAGGCGGUCGAUCAAGUCGCGUGUGAAAGCCCCCGGCUCAACUGGGGAGGGUCACGCGAUACUGAUCGACUCGAAGGCAGGAGAGGGUAGUGGAAUUCCCGGUGUAGUGGUGAAAUGCGUAGAUAUCGGGAGGAACACCAGUGGCGAGGGCGACUACCUGGCCUGUUUCUUGACGCUGAGGCGCGAAAGCUAGGGGAGCAAACGGG